rnacentral:rRNA from 1 species
CUACGGGAGGCUGCAGUCGAGGAAAUUUUACAAUGCUCGAAAGAGUGAUAGAAUAAAUCAGAGUGUUUCUCCUAGAGAAACUUUUAUUUGCUGUAAAAAGGCAAAUGAAUAAGGACUGGGCAAGACCGGUGCCAGCCGCCGCGGUAAUACCGGCGGUCCAAGUUGCAUCCAUUUUUAUUGGGUCUAAAACAUUCGUAGCUUGUUUUAAAAGUCCCUUGUGAAAUCUCAUAUCUCAAGUAUGGGGCGCGCAAGAGAUACUUUAUUACUAGAGACCGGAAGACGCAAAGAGUAUAAUUAAGGUAGCAGUAAAAUGUUUUAAUCUUGAUUAGACUAACAAUGGCGAAGGCACUUUGCGAGUACGGAUCUGACAGUGAGGGAUGAAGGCUAGGGUCGCGAAAGGGAUUAGAUACCCUAGUAGUC